rnacentral:rRNA from 1 species
UGCCAGCCGCCGCGGUAAUACGGAGGGUCCAAGCGUUGUCCGGAUUUAUUGGGUUUAAAGGGUACGCAGGCGGGACUUUAAGUCAGUGGUGAAAGCCUCCAGCUUAACUGGAGAAUUGCCAUUGAAACUGAUGUUCUUGAGUAUGGAUGAGGUGGUUGGAAUAUAACAUGUAGCGGUGAGAUGCUUAGAUACGUUAUAGAACACCAAUUGCGAAGGCAGAUCACUAAACCAUUACUGACGCUGAGGUACGAAAGCGUGGGGAGCGAACAGGAUUAGAUA